rnacentral:misc_RNA from 1 species
AACAAACAGCCCAACUAUUCUCUGUUUAUCUGUUGUGGUUUCUAUACGUACUACACGAAGCCGCUGAUGACUUUGGCGGGCCUGCUUAGAAAGGGCAUUUUCAAUAGUUCCCCAAACAGGAAGAAUAAGGCCACCCAAAACAUUAACUUCCUGUAUUCUCCUGCCAACCGUACAAAAGUUGCCAAGCUUACACUUUGGUCCGUGCAUGCACUGUUUUGAGGAAAUAUCAUACUCAUCUUCCCACCCAUUACGAGCCUUCUCUAAAGAUGAUGUUUUUCGAUAUUUGUUUCGUAACUCAGAGAGAGGCAUUUCCCUUAGUGACUCCCCAACAGCUGGG